rnacentral:rRNA from 1 species
GAUGAACGCUGGCGGCGUGCCUAAUACAUGCAAGUCGAGCGAACGGACGAGAAGCUUGCUUCUCUGAUGUUAGCGGCGGACGGGUGAGUAACACGUGGGUAACCUACCUAUAAGACUGGGAUAACUUCGGGAAACCGGAGCUAAUACCGGAUAAUAUUUUGAACCGCAUGGUUCAAAAGUGAAAGACGGCCUUGCUGUCACUUAUAGAUGGAUCCGCGCUGCAUUAGCUAGUUGGUAAGGUAACGGCUUACCAAGGCAACGAUGCAUAGCCGACCUGAGAGGGUGAUCGGCCACACUGGAACUGAGACACGGUCCAGACUCCUACGGGAGGCAGCAGUAGGGAAUCUUCCGCAAUGGGCGAAAGCCUGACGGAGCAACGCCGCGUGAGUGAUGAAGGUCUUCGGAUCGUAAAACUCUGUUAUUAGGGAAGAACAUAUGUGUAAGUAACUGUGCACAUCUUGACGGUACCUAAUCAGAAAGCCACGGCUAACUACGUGCCAGCAGCCGCGGUAAUACGUAGGUGGCAAGCGUUAUCCGGAAUUAUUGGGCGUAAAGCGCGCGUAGGCGGUUUUUUAAGUCUGAUGUGAAAGCCCACGGCUCAACCGUGGAGGGUCAUUGGAAACUGGAAAACUUGAGUGCAGAAGAGGAAAGUGGAAUUCCAUGUGUAGCGGUGAAAUGCGCAGAGAUAUGGAGGAACACCAGUGGCGAAGGCGACUUUCUGGUCUGUAACUGACGCUGAUGUGCGAAAGCGUGGGGAUCAAACAGGAUUAGAUACCCUGGUAGUCCACGCCGUAAACGAUGAGUGCUAAGUGUUAGGGGGUUUCCGCCCCUUAGUGCUGCAGCUAACGCAUUAAGCACUCCGCCUGGGGAGUACGACCGCAAGGUUGAAACUCAAAGGAAUUGACGGGGACCCGCACAAGCGGUGGAGCAUGUGGUUUAAUUCGAAGCAACGCGAAGAACCUUACCAAAUCUUGACAUCCUUUGACAACUCUAGAGAUAGAGCCUUCCCCUUCGGGGGACAAAGUGACAGGUGGUGCAUGGUUGUCGUCAGCUCGUGUCGUGAGAUGUUGGGUUAAGUCCCGCAACGAGCGCAACCCUUAAGCUUAGUUGCCAUCAUUAAGUUGGGCACUCUAAGUUGACUGCCGGUGACAAACCGGAGGAAGGUGGGGAUGACGUCAAAUCAUCAUGCCCCUUAUGAUUUGGGCUACACACGUGCUACAAUGGACAAUACAAAGGGCAGCGAAACCGCGAGGUCAAGCAAAUCCCAUAAAGUUGUUCUCAGUUCGGAUUGUAGUCUGCAACUCGACUACAUGAAGCUGGAAUCGCUAGUAAUCGUAGAUCAGCAUGCUACGGUGAAUACGUUCCCGGGUCU